AUUGAACGCUGGCGGCAGGCCUAACACAUGCAAGUCGAGCGGAUGACGGGAGCUUGCUCCUUGAUUCAGCGGCGGACGGGUGAGUAAUGCCUAGGAAUCUGCCUGGUAGUGGGGGGCAACGUUUCGAAAGGAACGCUAAUACCGCAUACGUCCUACGGGAGAAAGCAGGGGACCUUCGGGCCUUGCGCUAUCAGAUGAGCCUAGGUCGGAUUAGCUAGUAGGUGAGGUAAUGGCUCACCUAGGCGACGAUCCGUAACUGGUCUGAGAGGAUGAUCAGUCACACUGGAACUGAGACACGGUCCAGACUCCUACGGGAGGCAGCAGUGGGGAAUAUUGGACAAUGGGCGAAAGCCUGAUCCAGCCAUGCCGCGUGUGUGAAGAAGGUCUUCGGAUUGUAAAGCACUUUAAGUUGGGAGGAAGGGCAGUAAGCGAAUACCUUGCUGUUUUGACGUUACCGACAGAAUAAGCACCGGCUAACUCUGUGCCAGCCGCCGCCGUAAAAC
rnacentral:rRNA from 1 species